GACAGAGGCCCCAAGCGUUAGGCGGAAUCACUGGGCUUAAAGCGUGUGUAGGCGGAUCGUUAAGUGUCUUGUGAAAUCCCACGGCUCACCCGUGGAACUGCUGGGCAUACUGGCGAUCUUGGGCCAACUAGGGGCAGCCGGAACAAGCGGUGGAGCGGUGAAAUGCGUAGAUAUCGUAAGGAAGACCAGUGGCGAAGGCGGGUCUCUGGACAGUUCCUGACACUGAGGCACGAAGGCCAGGGGAGCAAACGGG
rnacentral:rRNA from 1 species